rnacentral:misc_RNA from 1 species
AGACGGACGGAUGGACAUACACGCAUACACAUGCGUACGCAUGGCAGUGCAACACGACACAGGCAAAGGCACAGGCGCGGGCGCGGACGCAUAGGGUGUGUGUGUGUGCAGCUGUCUAUGUCGAUGUGCACACACAUAUAUAUGUAUGCUGAUACUGUAUACAUGGCGGCACGACACAGACGCACAGACACAGACACAGACCGACGCCCUGAAAGAGACACAGGCGGGUGAAGUGCAUUGUGAUCACACACACGCACACACGCACACACGCACACACACGCACACACGCACACACACACGCACACACGCACACACGCACACACACGUCUGACCGUGCUCCGCCGACUCUUUCUCCAGUUUUUUUUUUGUUUUCGACACUUGCCGUGGGUUAUCAUACUUUGCAGCGCACGCCGAUGCGUCGACUGCAUCGCUUCAUCACCGCCUCCCGCUCCUGGCGUGGCCACUGCUCGCUCCGCGGUACCCCCAGGUUUCUCUGUUACUGUCAGGGCGAUCCGUCAGAGCGCACGUCGCGCUGCCGUCGUCAGCGCCGCCUUGCUCCUGCGCAUGAAGGGCCCUUGAGCAGUGCCAUUAGAAGCCGCCCACCACACCGAGAGCGUCGUGGACAUAACCUCGCGGAAACACAGGAGAGUCAGGCCGGUUGCGCAGCGACGGUUGACGUGGACGUGACGGUCACAUGCAGCUCCUUUACGAGUGAGCUGCAGCGGCUGUUUCCAUGGAGCGCUGCGUACUCCCUGUGGCAACAACGACGACGGCAGCGGCGGACAUCAGCAACAUCCGCCAGGUCAGCUCUGCCGUCGACGGCACCGCAGGGCGAAGACUGGGUGCCGUCAGAGCCCCCCGCCGCUGAAGAGGGGUACGACUGGCGGUGUCUGUUCAUUGUGCGCUAUGAGCCUCAUCCCGCACGGUUAUGUGCCACGCCCACCACACAGAAGAGCACUGCCGAACGAGGCUGCGGUGGCUCCACUGCCGCUGCUGCAAUCAGCGCAGCAAGGCACAGCUGCAGGGAGAGCCGGCGGCGUUCCCGAGCAAGCCAGCAAAGCCAAGCAGGCAUCCGCGAGACUCCGCUGAACACGACGGCGGCGAUGGCGACAGAAAGUACAUGUGAAAGUCGUGCGGUGCAGCUAUGGCGAGAGGUGCUGCUAUCGUCCUCAUCGCGGCGCGCGGAGGCCUCUUGUCCACUCCACGAGUCGCAGGUGGGCGGCUCAUCGCACGCCGCGCUGAGGGGUGCUGCUCACACCACCAUGAAUGGUCGACAGGGCUUCCACGCGGGUGCGCGGAUGCCUGCGGCAGGGAUAACGGACAGCCCGACCACACGCCGCGCUGGCGGCGACGUGCGGGGGAAGCGAGCCGCAGUGCCUUCGAACACGCUCUCUGAGGCUCCGUUGCCGCCACUGUUUGCAUGGACUACGCCUCCCACGUACGAAAUCUACCAUCUCUGCGGGGACCUCGAUCUCCCGAGGAGCGGCGCAGCUUCGCCUGCCCACGUAUACCCGGCGCAAGUGACGCAGGAAGCGUGGACUCCACUCGAGCACCGACGCCGGCGCAGCGACAUUGUACGUCGGCUGCGUCGGGUUGGACGCCUGCACGCGAUACCGGGUCUUCCACAACUCCCUCCUCUGCUACUGAGCCGUGAGCGUGCAAUGCCCUCCGCGGAGGUGCUUGAUGGCGCUGCGGGGUGCGCCAAGCGCUCACGUCAGCGCUCACAGCGCUUAUCGCAGGCGGGCGCGAACAAGACCGACACGCUGCGGGUGGUGCCAAGAGUAGACAAGACGUACGCCAUCGAGGACGACGAGGACAUGUCUGUCGCGCAGGAGGACGUGCUGGUCGGCACUGUCUGCUCUCUGCACGACUACUGCCACUACCUCACCGGGAUCGGUAACCUCGAAGAUGGUGAAGCUGCCGAUGAUGCGGAUGGGGUCGCGCAUCUGUCGCCGUCGCACAAGAACCAGCUCACCACAGAUUCGCCCGCUUUCGGUGGCCGGAGCGCACACGUGCCCGAGAUGGCAUCCGACUGUGUCAGCGGCACGGCAGGUGUCUCGCAGUACAUCCCUGCCGACGCCGCCGCGGCUGCCUCAUCGCCGCCGUCCUUCCCACCGCCGAAGAUCAACGCAGCAGCCCCUGCGAACAUGUUCCGUUUCGCGCCGCCGCUGUCACGAGGUGCGGAGAAGACAGGCCGAGGGAUGUGUUUCACGAACUUAUCGAAGCGCUUGCAGGUUCUCGGAGACGACGAUGGGGGCAAAGCCGUUUUAUCAGAGUUGGAUGAUCAGCAGCAGGUGCGCGGGAAACAUGGCACUGCCACCGCAGGUAUCCGUCCGCGCCGGCUCUACGAAGACGUCGGCCACCAUCACUGGAGCUGCAUCGCAUCCGACGCGUUCCUCGAGGAGAAGGUGCGAAUCUGUCGUCGCUCCCACGAGCCCAGCAGAACGACCGCCGCCGUUUCCUGUGCGCAUCCCCCGGCACCGCCGCAACGCCUACACGUCGCGGCGCCUGUGCCCAGGCGUCAAGAGCGAGCGGCACAUAGUGGACGUGAGCGCGCUGCACCGAAAACAGACGCCGGGGUGCUGCCUCUCUCGUCUACGUCGUGUGCCGCCCUUUCCCCGGCGGCGCCCGACGUUCUGGAAGUGGGCUGCUCCGCAGCAGCACUAUCUGCGUCGCACAGCGUCGGCGUCUUACUCGCGCACCAACACGAAUGGAUCUACUUUAGCGUUCUGUUCCACACACACGCGGUGCAGCUGCCGCGUACAUCAGCAGCGUCUGCUGCUGCGAGACUCGCUUCCAACCGCAGUCUCGACCUCUCGCAUCUCUACUGUUUUCUGGACCCUCCGUGCCGCCUGUACACCGAGGAGCUGGAGGAGUGGGCGCACGCGGCACGAGAGCGGCGGCGCGAGCGGGAGUGGGUGCGCGAUGGGCGCCUCAUUCGGCAUGGUCCGCCGCCGUCGCCUUCCCCUCACGACGCUCCCGCACGGACUCACCCGACUGCUUCACGACUCAGCCGCGGCACAGAAGCCUCUGGUCGUGCGGCACUCGUGGCCAGUGCACCUCUCUCGCCAUGCGCGGCGCCGAUGGCGAGUCCACAUACGUGGCUUGUGUAUGUGCACCCCGACGUGUCAGUACAGACAUUACCGCGGCUAUGGACACGCGCCUUCGGAGAGGACACGUCAAACAGCAGCGGCGGGGCGGGGCAGGAAGCGUGCGAGGGCGGCACGACACGGGUACUGGAUGGCCGCCAUGAGGUGGAUGGGCGUGAUGGCCGGGCUGAGCACGAGGGCGUCGUGCCCUCUUCUUUCUAUGCGGCCGUGGCGCGAAAACGGCGACGGCAGGCGGCCGAGGUGGAAAUGCUGUGCCGCCAUCUUCUGUCGACGACGCCACCGCGGCGCAAGGCGUCUUCUGCGCUGCUCGUUCACCCGGCCGAAGUCUCUGUCAGUGCGCGGGCACGCUCUCGCGGCCGUCCAAUCGCGGCAGCGUCGACCAAAGCCGGCACAGGAAUAGCUUCUUCGACGCCAUCAAAGGCGGCCGUGCUGAUGUCUGACGCCGCCUCACAGCGAUUGCCCACCUCAGCUACGGCAUUGCCUCACGAAGAGGAUGGACACCGACAGCAGCAGCAGCAAGCGCUGGCGUGCGCGCUGCCGGUAUCACCACUGCCACGCGGUACGGCCCUCCUAAAGCGGCGCCACUGGCUGGCCAAGCCGUUUGUGCUGGUAGAGGAACUGAAGUACGGCCGCGUGGUCAAGUACAGCCACGCAGAACUCGCGGCGCCACGCGUGCUGUGACGGCAGCAGCGCCACGCGUGCCAUGCCUUGCUCGUCUCGCAUUCUUUUCGAUGUGCGCGAUGAGGGCGUAUCACCGCCGUACGUACCCGCCGGCACCCUCCUGCCGCUGAUCAAGGCCCGAGCAGACGUCCAAGCGUGGGAUCACGACGCGACUGCUGACUGACUGACAGACACAGAGAGAGAGAAGGCGGCUCACAGUCACGCCACCCCAUCUGCCAUCUCUCCGCCCCCGCUGCACCUCUUGUCGCUCCAGCAGUCCGCCCUGCUUCACUUUUCUGUGUGUAUAUAUGCAUAUCUAUCUACAAGACUUUGCGCUUCCCUAACGAGGGCCGUUGGCCACUGCUGCUCCCGCUGCUAUGCAACGACGCUGCAACCCCGACACUCGGACACGCACGCGCGCGAGCUGACAUGCGCUGCUUGCGAAGCGGAGAAGGGAAGGUGGGC